CAGUCGCCGCGGUAAUACGGAGGGUGCAAGCGUUAUCCGGAUUUAUUGGGUUUAAAGGGUCCGUAGGCGGACUUAUAAGUCAGUGGUGAAAGCCUGUCGCUUAACGAUAGAACUGCCAUUGAUACUGUAAGUCUUGAGUAUAUUUGAGGUAGCUGGAAUAAGUAGUGUAGCGGUGAAAUGCAUAGAUAUUACUUAGAACACCAAUUGCGAAGGCAGGUUACCAAGAUAUAACUGACGCUGAGGGACGAAAGCGUGGGUAGCGAACAGGAUUAGAUACCCCGGUAGUCACUGUCUCUUAUAC
rnacentral:rRNA from 1 species